UACGGAGGAUGCGAGCGUUAUCCGGAAUUACUGGGCGUAAAGGGUGCGUAGGUGGUUUCUUAAGUCAGAGGUGAAAGGCUACGGCUCAACCGUAGUAAGCCUUUGAAACUGGGGGACUUGAGUGCAGGAGAGGAGAGUGGAAUUCCUAGUGUAGCGGUGAAAUGCGUAGAUAUUAGGAGGAACACCAGUUGCGAAGGCGGCUCUCUGGACUGUAACUGACGUUGAGGCUCGAAAGCGUGGGGAGCAAACAGG
rnacentral:rRNA from 1 species